rnacentral:lncRNA from 1 species
AAACCGUGAUAUAUAAAUUGUUUCGUAUAAAAAAAUUUAGGAAUUACAACAAUUCAUAUCCACCUUAUGACUAUCCUAAAGAUCCAGAUAUACCAUUAAAUAGAACAAAUUUACUCCAAUGAAUACACAUUCCUUUAAAUUGAAUUGUAAAAAAAUUACAAGAUUCAAAACUGAUAUUUAGCCUUAAGAACUUAACAAGACUUGAUAUAUCAAGUUAAACAGAAAAACAUUAUUCCUCUCUCCAUAAAUUCAUUGACAUCUACAAGAAAGUAGUCAGUAACCUCAAGUCGAUGUUUGUCCAUGUCAUUCUUUCAGUAGUUAUUCUUGCUAUUCAUUUUCUUCAUCUGGAAUAUAAAGACCAACUCGUUAAAUUUUAAAGGAAAAAAGUUUGAAUAUCCCAAGUAAAACAGAGAAAUAAAGGUGUUCACAAUACACAUAUUUGUUAAGAAUUGGCAAAGGACUAAAAGUGCCGUUAACGAGUAGAAUGAUAAAUGGUAAAAGUGGAAGAUUGAAGCAUGGAUCUACUUAAGAUAAAUAUAAACAACAACGAUUGCUAGACCCCAGGUCAAAUUUUACUAGCAUAUUGGAGUAGGACUAUGCAACCAGAUUGAGUAACAUGUACUUUUACUGUUUCCACUAUUAAAGAAAUAGUCUCAUAUUCCACUAACAGUCAGAGAGGAAAUUAGGUAUAAUACUCGUGAAGAAUAGACAAAGUACAAAAUACAUAUUGUACUUAAAUUAAAAGAAGAAUGGGUUUCUACCUUUUGAGACAAGCAAAUUAAAAUCCUCAACCAGCUAGAAUGGGACUGCUAGCAUUGAUAAUUGAUAAACUUAAAUUAAAAAAUAACGUAAUAAUAAAUAAACUUUCUAAUCAAGAGAAAUGAGGAGGGAGAGGGACAAAGGGGAGGAUAGCUACAAUGUACAAUUUCCAUUCAAAUAACAUAUUAUUUCAGCAAACGGUACAAAUGAUUUGCAAUUAUAAAAUAAAACAACCAAUUGACCAAAACAGGACAACCAGUAGUUCAAGAUUAAAAGAUGUGCAAUUACAUGUCAUUUGCAACCGGCCUUUCUUCACUUUCUUUUCAAAAAUAUUAUAGUUGUGUUCUGCAAAACCAAGUAUAUAAAGUUAGAGAGGAAAGGGAGAAGGAAGAGAAAACACAAGUGGUACUGAAGACUAACCACUCAAUAACUUCUAAGGAUCAAACACCUAACAAUAUGGUUGUAUAAUUUACAUAACUGAAGUGUGUCAAUGAUAUCCCAAACAAAAAUUACAGAAGAAAAUGCAUUUGAACAUAUACAACGACGGGAUUCUUUUUUAUCUGGAGGAAAUUGAGUAAAAAAUUAUUAUUAGAACUAACAAAAUUAAGGAUAUGAGUAAACAGAUCUGCUCUAUUUUGAUUUUUGAUCAUAUAACAAAAUAAGAAAAUAGGUAUUUCUAUUUAAACAUGUUAGAUACCUCAAUCUCCCAACACAAAUUUGCACAUGUAUCCUUUAGAAACAAAUUAUAGCCCAUUAUCAAGUACCAACCUGAAACCUAGCCAUAUUCUCGCAUAUAAACACGCACUAAGGGGGAAAAAAACAAAAAAAGGAACUACUCAAUUAUGGUGGUUAAGGGUUGGUGGCUUGGUACAGAUCAUUUGCCCAACCACUCACUAAUAAAAUGAAUAGCCUAAUCUAGCACCAAAGAAGAACUUGUCUUAUUGUCUAUAUUGCAAACUAACUAUGGUUACAGUGACUGGAUUCAAUCAAAUCAAUACGCCUAAAAGAGGUUCUCUUUUCUAGAUACAUGUCAACUCAAGUGAAUUAAAAGAAAACAAAUGUUCAAUUAAAAACUAAUUAGUGGAUGCUUACCACUUCAAAGAAACUGUAGGACACUUUCGUGGAUUGCAUUGAUAUACUCUUCAGAUUCUACAAAUGGCGUCUCUGCAUCUCCUUCACCAAUUUGUCGAAUAAUGUAACUCACCUCCCAUUAACCAGUAGUCCCUGUAAUUUAAUAGUAAAGAGCACAAAUUUACUUCUCCAGAUUAUAUUAAAGGUAAAAAUUGUAAGAAUUUGCAAAAAUAAACCACUUACGAGUUCAUUCAUUCAUUUCCAAGAGGUAAAAUUGAUAAAAAAUACAACGUACUUUACCAUUUUUUUCCAUUAAUACAAUGUACAAAAAAACUGACCAAACAAUGCUUGUACUUUCGUUUUGUUUCUACGUUAUACAAUCUGUUAAACGAAGCUAACAGACUGCUUAUCUGUACAAUAUUUUCUGACGUGGCUUUAUCUAAUUAAGUUAAUUUGCUGAGGUGUAAAAAAACAUAACAAAAAUUCUAGUAAUCCACGUGUUAGCAGAUGUUGUUACCACAUGUUUCAAUCUCAGCCGUCUAUAAUACUCAAAUUGUUUCAAUCUGUCCAGAUUAGUACAGAUUGUAGUUGGAUUAGAAAGAGAGUUUAAUGAACCAAUUGAAUGAGGAAUUGAACCAGAAAGUUGAUUAUAACUUAAAUCAAGAGUUCUUAAACCACGAAUCUCAGCUAAAGAAGGUGGAAUUUGACCUGAAAUGAAAUUUUUACUAAUAGCAAGAAACCGAAGAUUCUUUAAUUGAGACAGAGUUGGUGGUAAUGAACCCAUGAUUCUACCUGGAACAAUAGAUAACUCAGCAAGUGCAGAAAGUUUACCAAUUGAAGGAUGAAGACGACCAGAUAAACCAGGAGAACCAGCUCUUAGAUCACCAAGAUUUAAUGCUAUAACUUUAUUUGCAUCACAAUAAACACCAGGGAAAUUACAAGGAUCAGAAGUAAAAUCCCAUGAAGAAAAGAAAUUAAAACCUGGCAUAUCUUCUAAUGAUUUUCUAAUUGAUUGUAAUGCUAAGAAAUCCACUGGGUCUAAGAUUGCUAAUGAAGUUAAACUUAAAUCACUGUAAAUCAUUACAAAUACAAACAGAGUAUAGAUUAAAAACUUUCCGUGGUAACAACAUCUGCUAACACGUGGAUUACUAGAAUUUUUGUUAUGUUUUUUACACCUCAGCAAAUUAACUUAAUUAGAUAAAACCACGUCAGAAAAUGUUGUACAGAUAAGCAGUCUGUUAGCUCAUUUUAACAGAUUGUAUAACGUAGAAACAAAACGAAAGUACAAGCAUUGUUUGGUCAGUUUUUUUGUACAUUGUAUUAAUGGCAAAAAGUGGUAAAGUACGUUGUAUUUUUUAUCAAUUUUACCUUUCCAAGAGGUUUUCAGUUAACUUCUUCCUUAUCCAAUUUAAUGAGUUCUUUAACUUCAAACUAGUACUUAGCUUUUAUAUUCAAGCUUUUAUAAGAGUUUGUAAGCUAAAAAACUCAAAGAACAACUCAAAAUACACAAUGAUUGCUCGAAUUUUACCUCUAUUUAAAGUUAGCAAUGUGAGAAAUUGUAUCUUUUGGUAGGGCUUCAGAUAAAAUUCUGUGAUCUGCAAUU